AGCAGCCGCGGUAAUUCCAGCUCCAAUAGCGUAUAUUAAAGUUGUUGCAGUUAAAAAGCUCGUAGUUGAAUUUCGGAACCGAUGGAUCGGUCACGCCAUUCGGUGUGUACUGGUUUAGUUGGUUCUCACCUUCUAAGGAACCGUGAUGUCAUUAAUUUGGUGUCGCGGGGAAUUAGGACUGUUACCUUGAAAAAAUUAGAGUGUUUAAAGCAAGCUCACGCUUGAAUACAUUAGCAUGGAAUAAUGAAAUAGGACAUUGUAUUCUAUUUUGUUGGUUUCUAGGAUCGAUGUAAUGAUUAAUAGGGAUAGUUGGGGGCAUUAGUAUUCAAUUGUCAGAGGUGAAAUUCUUGGAUUUAUUGAAGACUAACUACUGCGAAAGCAUUUGCCAAGGAUGUUUUCAUUAAUCAAGAACGAAAGUUAGGGGAUCGAAGACGAUCAGAUACCGUCGUA
rnacentral:rRNA from 1 species